rnacentral:rRNA from 1 species
GAGCUCCUACGGGAGGCAGCAGUGAGGAAUAUUGGUCAAUGGCCGAGAGGCUGAACCAGCCAAGUCGCGUGAGGGAAGACGGCCCUACGGGUUGCAAACCUCUUUUGUCGGGGAGCAAAGCGAGUCACGUGUGACUCAUUGCGAGUACCCGAAGAAAAAGCAUCGGCUAACUCCGUGCCAGCAGCCGCGGUAAUACGGAGGAUGCGAGCGUUAUCCGGAUUUAUUGGGUUUAAAGGGUGCGCAGGCGGAG